GCCGGUGUGGCUCAGUGGAUAGAGCAUCGGCCUGUGGACUCGAGUCACGGGUUCGAUUCUGGUCAAGGGCA
rnacentral:tRNA from 1 species